UGGAAUGGUUGUAAGAAGGUGCAAGAGGA
rnacentral:piRNA from 1 species